rnacentral:rRNA from 1 species
GACGAACCGUGCGAACGUUAUUCGGAAUCACUGGGCUUAAAGGGUGCGUAGGCUGCGAGGAGGGUGGGGUGUGAAAUCCCUCGGCUUAACCGAGGAAUUGCGCUCCAAACCGCCUUGCUGGAGUGAGACAGAGGUGAGUGGAACUAAUGGUGGAGCGGUGAAAUGCGUUGAUAUCAUUAGGAACACCAGAGGCGAAGGCGGCUCACUGGGUCUCAACUGACGCUGAGGAGCGAAAGCGUGGGGAGCGAACAGG